GCUCAGUUGGUUGAGCAUCAGACUCUUGAUUUCCACUCAGGUCAUGAUCCCCAAGUCGUGGGAUCCAGCCCCACAUUGGGCU
rnacentral:tRNA from 1 species